rnacentral:rRNA from 1 species
AGCAGCCGCGGUAAUUCCAGCUCCAAUAGCGUAUAUUAAAGUUGUUGCAGUUAAAAAGCUCGUAGUUGAAUUUCGGGAUUCUACCGUUGGUCGGGCUAACAAGUCUGUACUGGUGUGUAGAAUUUCUACCUUCUGGGGAACUAUCAUGUUAUUAAUUUAGCGUGGUGGGAAACCAGGACCUUUACCUUGAAAAAUUAGAGUGUUCAAAGCAGGCUUACGUCUGAAUACAUUAGCAUGGAAUAAUAGAAUAGGACGGUGGUCCUGUUUUGUUGGUUUCUGAAUCACCGUAAUGAUUAAUAGGGAUAGUUGGGGGCAUUAGUAUUCAAUUGUCAGAGGUGAAAUUCUUGGAUUUAUUGAAGACUAACUUCUGCGAAAGCAUUUGCCAAGGAUGUUUUCAUUAAUCAAGAACGAAAGUUAGGGGAUCGAAGACGAUCAGAUACCGUCGUAGUCUUAACCAUAAACUAUGCCGACUAGGGAUCGGACGAUGUUA